rnacentral:rRNA from 1 species
UGGGGAAUUUUACACAAUGGGGGAAACCCUGAUGUAGCAACGCCGCGUGGAGGAUGACGGAUCUAGGUCUGUAAACUCCUUUUAUAAGGGAAGAAAUUUGACGGUACCUUAUGAAUAAGCACCGGCUAACUCCGUGCCAGCAGCCGCGGUAAUACGUAGGGUGCAAGCGUUAAUCGGAAUUACUGGGCGUAAAGCGUGCGCAGGCGGUUAUGUAAGACAGAGGUGAAAUCCCCGGGCUCAACCUGGGAACUGCCUUUGUGACUGCAUAGCUGGAGUACGGCAGAGGGAGAUGGAAUUCCGCGUGUGGCAGUGAAAUGCGUAGAUAUGCGGAGGAACACCGAUGGCGAAGGCAAUCCCCUGGGCCUGUACUGACGCUCAUGCACGAAAGCGUGGGGAGCAAACA